UCCGUGAUGGAUUUGAAUUAAAAUUUGUGGAGGGGUGGGGUGUGGCACAAUGCACAAUCCAUUCGAUUUUGGUGGCGAUCCGGAUCAUGAUCCGGUUUAGGGGAAUUUUUUUUAAUAACUCCAGUCAGCCUGUGUAUUAACACCAUAGGCUUUAGGACAUGCGCAGUGAAACUGAUGACGCUUUCAUGACGCUUCACCCUGCCUCUUUCCUCCUUCCUUCAGAGAGAGGGACAGAGCGAGAGAGCGGGGAGUGGAGAGAGGGGGGUGGACACCUGUGGAUUCGGCGUUUUUUAACAUUAAACACUUGGAGAUUGUUGGAAAGAGUAACGACGACGGUUUAGAUUACAGUUCAUCACCUGAAUCGUCUGAAGUCAACCUGAGCUGCAGCUCAGAGCAGAAAAACAGAACAAAGACGCCCCCUACUGACCUUGAAGCAGCAGGACGAACUCCAGCAGCUGAUCUGAGGUCUGUUUCAGCUUCGAGCAGGAUCACCCUGAUGGAGACACCAGCAUCAGAGAAAAACAACGUUUUCU